GUGAUUAAAUCGAGCGUGUCUUCAUUGACCGCUCACCCUUCUCACCAUCCACAUACACCUGUGCACUGUUUAGGCCUGAGCCGGUUUUUUCCGGUCCAGGUUAUCAUUUCAUACAAACCUCUAGUCUUAUGAAUGUAAACGUUUUUAAUAACAUAAUA
rnacentral:misc_RNA from 1 species